rnacentral:rRNA from 1 species
CCUACGGGUGGCAGCAGUGGGGAAUAUUGGACAAUGGGCGAAAGCCUGAUCCAGCCAUGCCGCGUGUGUGAAGAAGGCCUUCGGGUUGUAAAGCACUUUCAGUGGGGAAGAAAGCCUUGGGGCUAAUACCCUCGAGGAAGGACAUCACCCACAGAAGAAGCACCGGCUAACUCCGUGCCAGCAGCCGCGGUAAUACGGAGGGUGCGAGCGUUAAUCGGAAUUACUGGGCGUAAAGCGCGCGUAGGCGGUCUGAUAAGCCGGUUGUGAAAGCCCCGGGCUCAACCUGGGAACGGCAUCCGGAACUGUCAGGCUAGAGUGCAGGAGAGGAAGGUAGAAUUCCCGGUGUAGCGGUGAAAUGUGUAGAGAUCGGGAGGAAUACCAGUGGCGAAGGCGGCCUUCUGGACUGACACUGACGCUGAGGUGCGAAAGCGUGGGUAGCAAACAGGAUUAGAUACCCGAGUAGUC